AAGUCGUAACAAGGUUUCCGUAGGUGAACCUGCGGAAGGAUCAUUAACACGUAUCCAACGUUAAACCCUCCUGUGAACCUUCAGUGUGCUCCCUCAUUCUGUUGGACGUGGCAAUCCCUGGUAAAUCAUCGCCGAACAGUUUUGAUUCAGAGACCUCUGGCCCGUGAGAUUCUUUGAGACGUUACAAUUUUGAGCGGUAGUUCUAUAGGCCUUGUUUCCCCAAGCAGUCAGUGUCUGAAAGUGUCAUUGAUUGUGCAAGGAUAACGCUUCACGAUUCUUGUAGACCGCAUCUCGCGGGCAGGAGCUAGGCCAAAGGGUCCCCAUGCCCCCUUACAACCCCACAGUUUAAUGUGAAGCUCAAUGUAAUACAUUGGGUAAAAAAACCGAACAACUGUUAACAAUGGAUAUCUUGGUUCUC
rnacentral:misc_RNA from 1 species